GCAAGGAAGGAGAAGUAGGAAAUCAACCUGCCAUCAUUUUCCUAGUCUAGGUACGAUUCCAACUUAUUUUACAUUUCUUGUUUGGAACUAUUCUCUUGAGUUUUCUUGCUGUUGGUGGGUUCAUCUUGGUGCUUGAAAGCAACUUGUGCAUGCUCUGUUUUUUUUUUUUUUUUCAUUUUCCUUUAUCCUUUGUUUUUGGCAUAUUUUGGAAUAUUGGGUGAUCACGAGACGAGGGUAAUGCGGGUUUGGGAAGCAGUUAUGUUUGUUUGAUGCAUUGAAAUCUCCAUGGGUUCAUUGUGCUUGAUCAUUUCCCGGCCUUUAUCUCUCUCUACUCUUCAUCAUCAUUUCUCAAGUGCCAAACCUUCCUGCCAUCGCCAUGGUUCUUGUCAUCGAAAAGACCACCUAUGGCCGAGAGUAAAAGGUCAAGGACAUGUUUGAAGCCCACGUGCCACCCCUAGUACUGCCAUCGACGCCUCUAUAUAUGCAGCAAUCGUGGUCACCCAUUGAACCCAUCAUGUCAACCAUCUUCAUCUUCAUCUCCAUUUCCAUUUCCAUCUCCAUUUCCAUCUCCACCUUUAUCUCUUAUUGUCUCUCUCCAAUUAAGUCAUUCGGAAAAUCUCCAUUUCCGCUACUUGAACCUGAACCAGCGUCAUCCUCUUCCCCGACUCCGGCAGUCUCUCCAAGCCUCCACCCAUUGCCAAAGCACCCACACCUGUCUCCUCCUUUCUAGCUCCACUGAUAGAGUCGCCAAAAAACUUUCCAUCGGAUGCUCCAAUUAAAUCAGAAAAUAGCACGUCGGACAAGUUGGUUGUUGAUGUCAUUGCUCCAACAAUGCCGGAUAAGCUCAGCACUGUUCCUAGCAUUUACACUUGACUACAUGGUAUGGGGAUAUGGGAGGAAUUGUAGUCUUUAUUUAUUAUUUUUUUUUAUGGUGCCUACCGUAACCUAGAUGGGUAUGGUAGAUAUAUGCAUGAAAAAUAGGUUUGUGGUGUGGGUAUGGUAGAUAUAUUUAUGGAAAAUGGGUUUGUGGUGUGGGUAUGACAGACAUAUGCAUGGAAAAUGGGUUUGUGGUGUGGGUAUGAUAGAUAUAUGCAUGGAAAAUGAGUUUGUGGUGUGGGUAUGACAUUGUUGCAAUAUGGAAAAUGAGUUUGUGGUGUGGGUAUGACAUUGUUGCAAUAUGGAAAAUGAGUUUGUGGUGAUACUGGUCCUGUACAAGUUUGGCCAAUGGUGCUAAGGCCUUUUGUCUUCUUUUUUUUUUUUUUAAUUUUUUUAUUAUUUUUCUUCAAUUUUGAUGCCAAAAAUUUAAUAUUCAAAAUUUUAAUCUUAAGAUAAUUUUUUUAGUUUAAUUUUUAAAACUUUAACUUCUCAAACUUAAAUUUCUUUCAAAUUUAAUUUCCAAAAUUCCAAUUCUUAAAUUUAAUUUUCAAAACUCCAAUUUUUAAAUUUAAUUUUCAAAACUCAAAUUCUCACAUAAUUUUCAAAAUUUCAAUUCCUUUCAAAUUUAAUUCCCAAAAUUCCAAUUUCUUUCAAAUUUAAUUUCCAAAAUUCCAAUUCUUAAAUUUAAUUUCCAAAACUCCAAUUCUUAAAUUUAAUUUUCAAAACUCUAAUUCUCAAAUAAUUUUCAAAACUCCAAUUCUCAAAUAAUUUUCAAAAUUCUAAUUCUUAAAUUUAAUUUUCAGAACUCCAAUUUCUUUCAAAUAAUUUUCAAAACUCCAAUUUUCAAAUUUAAUUUUCCAAACUUUAAUUUUCAAAUAAUUUUCCAAAAUUCCAAUUUUCAAAUUUAUUUUUUUAGAAAUUUCCAUUCUUAAAUAAUUUUCCAAAUUCCAAUUUUCAGAUUUAAUUUUUAAGAAAUCUCAUUCCCAAAUAAUUUUUCCAAGUUCCAAUUUUCAUAACUUCCAGUUUCAAAUUAUUUUUCUAAAAUUCCAAUUUUCAAAUUUAGUUCUUAAUACUUCAAUUUUCAAAUAAGUUUCAAAACUUGAUUUUCAAAUAUUUGUCUUUCAAAUGGUUUUAAAUCUUUUAAAUUUAUUUAUUUAGUUUUUUUAUUCACCUAAUUUAAUUAUUUUAUUUAUUCAUCUUUUAUCUAUUUAUUUAUUUAUUUAUUUAUUAUUUUAUUAUUUUACUUUAUUUUAUUCGUUUAUUUAUUUAUUUUUCAUUAUUAUUAUUAUUAUUGUUGUUGUUGUUGUUGUUGUUGUUAUUUUCUUCUUUCUUUUUUCUUUUUCUUUUCUUCAUUAAAAUCCCGAUUCACCAAAAUCUAAUUUUUAAUAAACUUGUUGCCAUUUUUUUAUUCAGGCAUGCAUCUUGUGAUUUUCUUUGGUUUUUAAUAAUUUUCUCGUUUUUCACUAUUUUUAAUAAGCAUGAAGGCAAUUUUCAUAAUUCCAAAAUAAUGGAAUUUGUGAUAUUAAUUCAUGCAAGAUCAAUUGGGCUUUGGUGGGGGCCCUACAUAUGAGUUUUCUCUUCUGAUUGUCAAUUGUUAUGCUUAAUGAGUAUUGCAUGAUCUUUGUUUUUCAAUUUGAUAUGCAUGUGAUAUAUUUUAUAUUCGUUAUUGUGCACUAACUCUGUUUCAUGAUAGCGUUUUAUUACUUGCUGCCAAGGUACGCUCUCACUCUCACUUUGUUCAUUUAUUCAUUAUCAUGACCUGAUUUUGAUCUAUGAUCUCUUUGGUAUCCAUUGAUCUCCUAGUUAAUUGUCAUACUUGUUUCACCUUAUUUAGUAGAGACCCAUUUUUAGGGGCUUAGUGAGGUGCUACGAUUUUUACCAUACUUUCCUAAUGAGUAAGCUGAUUCUCGGACCCAGAUUCGGUUUUUCACAAACCUAUUUUUUUCCUUCAGGAGUCAUACUUAGGGUUUUUCUUUCUUAUUUAGUUUUUCCCUUAAAAAAUAAAAUAAAAAUAAGUGGCGACUCCAAGUGUUUUUCUAAAAAUCAAAUUUUCACCAAACAAAUAAAAAACGAGUUUCGACAUCGAGUAGAAACACAUCAAGCGAAAUAUGGGGUCCACAAAAUGGCGACUCUAUUGGGGAAUCAUUUAGAGGGUCAAACUUGAACUUAAAAUGAAGCAAAUGUGGUGUUUGAUUAGCCGGUUGACGGAUACCUUCCCUUUGUGCUUCUUUAUGCUUGAGUGAUCACAGCACAUUGAGGAUUUUGAUGCAACGAUUUUUUAUGCUUCAUUGUUAUGUCUCUUUGGGACAUUGACAUGCUGAUGAUAUUGAUAGAUUUUCUUACUUAUCUUAGCAUAUUGAUUUUUCUUUUGCCAUGAUUAUUCUGCUUACUUUGACAUGUAUGCUCAUAUUGCUGUAUAUUUUUUUUCUUAGUGUUGAUUAUCUUGCUUGUAUAUUAUUUUGAUCAUUUUUGAGCAAGUUAUCCUUGUUGCUAUCCAUUUUGAUUGCCAUAUUCUCAUUUAGCUUAUGUGUGGACAUAAAUGAUAUACCUGCGUUCUGUUUGACUGCCUGUUGCAUGAUUGCUCUUCUCUUGUGUGUUUGCAUGUUGCUUGUCCGUGUGGGUCGCAUAUAUAUCCCCUUACCUCCAAUCCACUGGUUUCGACCAUUUUCUUCAUUUCGGUUCUUACAUUUGCAAGUGUGAGGCCUUGUGUGUGCUUGUUUCUCUAACCGAGCCAGUUGUUUGGGAACAUUCUGGAGGAGAUGGACUUAUUGAUACUGAUUGGAGUCUAGUCUUUGAAGACCUGUAUAGCCUAGAGCUAGGUUUCAUGGAUAUUUGUGUGAUUAAUAUGUUUCAUUUUCUACUUUAGCUUCAUAGGAUUUUCGGAUGCACCCACACCACUCACUGUGCACUUUAGUUGACUACUGAGUGCUGAGAGUUGCCAAAGCUUUCACCAUAGGAAACCCUUUGGGAUGUCGAGGUAGUGCAUGUGUGGAGGUGGUGACCACCUUGCAUGGAAGCGCCCCGUCUCUUCGGAGGUGUGUAGAGGGUUGCGUACCACCGAAGGGUAUGAUCGCUUUUGCUAGAGAUCCUUUAAAGUCCACCUCUCUUCUUUUUAGAGUCACAUUGACCUUGUAGGUUGAGCUUUAGAUCCUUCAAUCAUGAUUUCUUUUCCUAACACGUGGGUGCAUCUAAUUGCCUUUAGAGCUAGUUUAGUAGUGAUAGGUUUAGUUACCUUCAUAGUAAUCUCUUUUAUAUUUGCCCAGAAUUGGAUAUCAGUUUGAUUACUUCCAAGUUAUAUUUCGGCAUAUUUGAUAGACAUUCCUUGUAGAGUUUCCCUUACAUCGUAUCUUAUCUAGUAUUUCCACUAUUCUAGGAGUAUUGAUACUUUCGGCCUGGGUUCAGCUUCUUGGAUCAGAGUUAGGGGUAGAUUGAUCAAAGUAUUAGACCAAUUAGACCAGAUAUUAUAUUAGAGGGGUAUGGACUCAUAAAUAGUUACCAUUGACCAGUUUGUUGCGGUCAUGGCUUCAAUUUAGGAGGCAAUAGCUAACCUGGGCCAGAGAAUAGAUUAGCAGCAUGCCCAAUAGGUCUCGCCUCAGGAUGGCGCACAGUAUGACCAUAUAGUAUCACCACUCUCUCUACCUAGUCAAUCAGCACCACAGACUAUACCUUUCACUCUACAUAGUCAGACCGAAGUUGUCCCGCCUUUAGUCACAGUGCCUACCCCGAUCUUAGAGGACCCACAUGCUCGUAUCAAUAGACUUGAGUAGAAGUUGAGGCAAUUGAGGACUUCAGAUGGAGUUAUUACUUAAGAGGAUUUUGAUGGAGCACCAAUGGCCAGUUUAUUGGCCAAGUUUAGGAUGCCUGAGAUUGAGAGAUACACGAGCAUUGACUAUCAUCGCAUCCAUUUGAGGCUUUACAGUAUGGUUAUGAGGGCCCAUGGAUUGGAUGAGGCCCAGAUGGUUAUGUUUUUCCUUAUGUCCUUAAGUAGCACGACACAAUGUUGGUUUGUUUCAUUGGAUGUAUCACGCCGCCAAACUUAGGAUAAUUUGGCCCAAGAGUUCUUGAGACAAUUUGCAUUUAAUAUUGUCAUUGAUGUCUCGAGGAGAGAGUUAAAGGCUUUGAGGUAGAGGCUAGAGGAGUCGGUCACCUCAUUUAUUUCCCGUUGGAGGGAGAAGAUUUCAUAAGUUAUUGAUAGGUCAUCUAAGAAGGGUCAGAUUAGUAUGAUCAUGAGGAGCUUGCAGCCUCGAUUUGUGAGGCACUUGAUGGGAUUCCCUCAUAUGGAUUUUGGAUCUUUGGUACAGGCCUUAUACGGUAUAAAGUAGGGCAUAGUUAGAGAAUUAUGGCCCAAGUCUUCUCCUUCUGAUUCGAAGGGGAAGAAACCUUUAGGAGGACAUAGAUCAAGAGAUGUGGGUGCUAUCAGUUCAGUAGGUUUGAGACCUACUAGACGCUAUCAGACAGUUGGGCAUACUUUUGGAUUCUACUACCCACCAUCGCCUCGUGUGCAGUAUAGGCCAUGAGCACCUAUUCAGUCGUACGAUCAGGCCUACUUGUCUUCCACACUAAAACUGCCUUAUUAUGCCGCAUAGGGCACAGAGAGACCUCUAGCUUCAUAUCCUACUCCAAUACAACCAUGCUACGCAACACAGUUUGCAGCGAGACCCUUAGCUUCCUAUCCCAGACCUAAAGCUCAGCAAAAUUCUGUUCCUUUUACUUUGAGGACACAAAGACAGUUUUCAUAAUUGGGUAUGUCGUUGAGCCAAGCUCUUCGGAAGCUCAUAGAGGUCGGAUUAUUGACAGUUCUUGCUCUCAGGCCAUUGCCUCAGCCCGUCUGACCACAGUUCAAGAUGAAUUUACAUUGUGCAUUUCAUCAGGGGCCAGGGCAUGAGACUGACCGCUGUACUACUUUGAGGCACGCCAUCCAAGAUUUGAUUGAUCAGGGUGUGGUUCACUUGGGUUAGUCGAAUGUAACCACUAACCCAUUACCAGCUCAUACUACACACGCAGUUCCCCCUCCGACCGAUGGCAUACAUUUCCUUAACUUUGUUGAGCUUGAUGAUCAUAUCCACAUGCUGAGUUGGGAUGAGUCGGAGCCAGAUCCAAUCGUAUCAGAUGAGAUUUAUGAGUUAGGUGGAGUGAGCUUAGGCCCACAGAUUCCCACACCAUUCAGAUUGGUUCCUAAGGUGACAUCCGUACAGUUGACCACAGUUGAGCCAUUGACUUUCCCACGUUAUAGUGUUUAGACUUCAUUUGUUUUGAUUCCGGAUGUUGAUGAGGUUUAGACUCCAUAUGUUGAUGAUGUUUACACUCUUGAUAUACAAUAUGUUAUUUGCAAGGGUAGAGUGGUACGAAAACAACCCCUCGCAACCGCUAGACCCUUGGAAGGGACGUCUGCUCAUGAGGAGGUCAGGAGAGAGGAUAAUGAGAUCCUGAAACAGUUGCAGAGCACCCAGACUCGUAUAUCUAUUUGGAGCUUACUAGCAUCUUCUAACACUCACAGAGAUGCAUUGAUUCGAACUUUGAGUCAGAUCAGGGUUGAGACUACCACUACUCCGGAGGGGUUGAUCCACAUGAUGACAGUUGGCAAAGCCACUUGCAUUGUAUUUUUUUAUAAUGACUUGUCACCCGAGGGUUCAGACCAUACACGUUCACUGUACAUCUCAGUUGGUUGUUCAAGCCAUCGAGUGCCAUUUGUCAUUUUGGACAAUGACUCGGCCUUGAAAGUUUGCCUUUUAGCCACUGCCAUCACCCUUGGUUAUGCACUCUCAGACUUUGAUCCUUCUACUCAGACAAUCAGAGCAUAUGAUAACAUUAAGAGGGAGGUCAUGGGCACUUCGAAGAUCUAGUUGUUGAUAGGUCCAACCAUAUUUCCUACUCUGUUAUAGGUUUUGAGGAUUCCUACAUCCUUUAACUUGAUAUUGGGUCGACCUUGGAUUCAUAAAGCUGGAGUCAUCCCUUCUUCCCUUCAUCAAAAGGUGAAGUUCAUUCACAAUGGGCAGGUCGUCAUAGUGCGGUCUAGGAUGAAUGUUUAAUUAAAUACUCUAAAAAAAGUAAAUUAUAUUCUAAAAAAAAAUUAAUAGUAUGGAAUUGUAUUUAGGUUACUUAAAUUGAAUUAGGAAAGACUACCACAAAUAAAAAUGGCUUAUAUAGAAGCUUAUUUAAAAGUAACUAUGCUAAAAGCAUUUUUGGCUUUUGUACAAGCACUUUUUUUAGGAAUUCAUCAGUAUUUGAAUGUAAAUAAAUAAAAUAAUUUUUGUCAGAAUUUUUUUCUUAAAAUAUAAAGUUUAAAACUUUCUUUUAAAAAAGAAGAGAUUGAAAUCUUGGUAUUAGAGUUUAAAACUUUUUCCUUAUUGGGAAAAAUAUGUUUCAUACACUCAUAUGAAAACAAAAAACUAUAAAAUAGGAACUUAAGUUUAUGAAAUACAAAUUUUAAGCAGCUAACUAAAAAUAAUUAGCAUUUUAUACAUUUUUUUGGUCAAAUGUAUUACCUAUGAUUAUUCAAAUACAACAUUUUAAUGAUAUAAGUACUACUUUUAAUUAUCAGGUACUACAUUUGACUGGUAAAUACAUGAGACUUAAAUUAUUUUUAAAGGUUCCUAUUUUAUAAUUAUUUUUUAUAUGAGGGUGUGAAAACACAUUUUUUUCCUUGUUGGUAAAAGUAAAAGGUAAUAAAUAAUUUUUAUUUUUUCAAUUGUUGUGUAAGAUUUUAUGAGUUUUAUUAAUAUUUAUGAGAUCUUAUAGGAUAGUUUUGAGAUAAUUAAGACUCUGACUACAAAAAUCAUCUUUUUCAUUUUUAUGGAAAAAACAACCGAGUAUUAUUUGAGUUUUCAUAUUUCUUUGACAACUAGAUAACGGAUAGUGGAUAGAUUCUCUAUAAUCUUCCUAUGAAUACUCGUAAAAGAAAUAUUUAUGUUAGGCAGUGAUUAGGAUUUGAGCGAGUAUAGUUCGUUAAUUGCGCAUAUAGAGAUAACUUUACGACAAUAUGUUUAUUGUUCGUGAAUGACACACAAGGAGACAAUAGUAGCUUUAAGACAACGUGCUACCAUGUGUUUUACCAUAUCAAAUAAAAAAUGGAGAGAACAUAGAAAAAUACUUUAUUUUCCAUAACACGUUUUAUGAUUUAUAACAUGUCAUAUGAUAGAAAAAUAAUUUUUUAAGAAGUACAUAUUAAGUUACCAUUUCAAAAAUCCUUAAGACUAUAUUUGGUUCUGAAAAAUACUAGGGAAAGAAAAAAUUGUUAAGAAAAAUAGUUUUCUCAUAUUUAAUUUUACUAUAAAAGAAAAUAAAAUAUAAUUAAAAUUAAUUUAAAUUUUAUAUAUUUUUAAAUUAUUUAAUUUUACUAUAAUAGAGAGAAAUCAAUAAAAUGAGUUUGAAAAAGCAUAUAAAAAUAAUUUAUUAAAUUUAAACUUUCUUUUUUUAUUUUCUUUCACUUUUUCUCUUUUUUUACUUUUCCUCUCUAUUUUUUUUUUCCCAUUUUACCUCAUAUUUUCUAGGAAUCGAACAUACCCUAAGUAAUUCUCAUUUUUAUUUUUAUUUUUACAAGAAAAGCACUUCAAAAAUAUCAUGAACUACUCUUUUAAUUUUCUCAAAAUGACUUAUUGAGCUAAAGUUGCAAUUUGGAUACAUUAAGUCAAAUGUAAGGUUAACUUGCACCAACCUAACUUUUGGUUGGGUUAAGAAUUCCCAACCUACUCCCAUUUAUGGACCACUAAGGUUUUUCAUAGAUUAUUAAAUUAAAAAAAAAUCCUAAAACAGAAUUCCCAAUGAAUAAACAAUUAAUAUAUCUCAAAGUUAUAAGUCAUAUUAUUAAUUACUAAUUCAACAUCAACACAACUUUAGCUUAAUUCUUAACAUUCAAAGAUUUAAUAAUUUAAAAAUGACAAUUGCAAUAGUAUAAUAUGACAACAAAAAUGUCAAAAAGUGAAAAGUUAAUUUUAUUUUAUAUUUUAAAUAAAAUAAUAAAUUAUAUAAUUACAAAUAAUAAAGAAUCAAUAAUAAUUAAUACAUGACUUUCGAUGGGUUAUUUGCAUCUUCAACCCUUGAAAAUUCGAAUAAAUUUUAACUAAAAUAUUAUACAUAAAUUAAAAAAUAUAUUUUUAAAUAUAACAAUUAAAAAAUUAUUUUAUAUAUAAAAUAUUUUUAAAUUUAUCUCUUUUAAAAGACAACAUUAAUUAAAUUUUUUAAAAAUAAUUUCUUAUUAGAUUUUUUCAACGGUAGUAAAUCUAAAAAUAAUUUUACAAAAUUUAGAAAUAAUUUUUUAAAAAUAUUUCUCAAAAUUACUACAAAUCAAAUUACAAAAACUUGACCACCUCAAGCCCAAUUAGAAUCUAGAUUUAAAUUAAGUGGGUGGGAAAUGUGGCAACUUCCUUGUCCUUUUAUGGCUUAGCUGCUUGGAAGUUGGACACAAGUCACACAAUAUACAAAAUUCAUUGACCAAAACACCCACAAGUCACAAGUUGAAGUGUGAACACUCUUUAUUUUUAAUUUUUUAUUAUUAUUUUAUUGUUUUUUUUUCUUGGUUCAAUGUCAUAGUGGGAAUCCAAACCUUGGAAAACCCACACUGGCCAUGCAUGGACAAUAUUCUCUUUUGAAAUUAAAUUUUCAAAAAUUUCAACAAUAAUAUAUUUUAAUUUUUCCUUUUCUAUUUCACUUUCACACCUCUACAUGUGUGCCUUUGGAAUUUACUUGUUGAGACAUCUGACUAUGAGGUGGUAUCUUGUUUGAAAUUUGUCUCUAUUUGCUUGUAAGCUUCAAAGAUCUUAAUCAUCUUAUGACUUUAAGGAAAAAAAGUUGGACUUCCAUAUGUUCAUUUGAAGACUAUUACUGAAGUUUGGAUGCUCUAUCCUUGUGUUAGAAUUUUUGACUUUUGCAUCAUUCCAUAUGUGAACUUUGAGUUGACCUUUGUCCCCGUAAAGGAAAAAAAAAACAUAAUUCUUGCUUAAUGAUCACAUCAAUGCCCAAAAUACCAUAAUUCUUGCUUAGCAAUUCGCAUUAAUGUUAAUAUUAAAGUUAAAUAUUUAAUGGGUGUUUGAUAAAUCAACUUACUAACUUAAAAUAAUUUAAUAAUUUAAUUUUAAUCAUUAAAUAAAUUAAAUAUGUUUGGUAUAAUAACUUAAUAAUAUAACUUAAAAUAAAAAAUAACUUUAAGUAAUAAGUAAAAAUAAUUAAUUUAAUAUCUUUAUUUUAACUUUUUAUCGCAUUUACCCUAAUUACCUUCACAAUCUCUUUUACUACUAUUUUAAAUUCAAUGUUACUCAACCUCAUUUAUGAUAAUUAUAAUUUAUGAGGAUAAAUAUGUUAAUUUGACGAUUUAUAAUAAAUUUUAAGUUAAUUUUAUCAAACAAUCUUAAUAUUUAAGUUUUAAGUCAAUAAUUUAACUUAAAAUCAAUUUAAAUUUUUAAUUAAUAAGUAUUAAGUUUUACCGAACAUCCCGUUAGUUAAGUUGAGAACUUUGUUUCAUUUAUUCUAAUUUAGGAUUCUAUAUACUUCCUUGUGACUUACAAUACCCGUGAAGACUUGAGAUUGCUAUAAACCCAUCUUACAAGUAUAGUGGAAUAACUUAAUUAAAAAAUAAGAAGCAAAUUUAAGGAGUGCUUAGGCCUCGUUAAAUGAUAUUCACGCAAUCAAAUUUGAUGUUGACCCAUUUUGAAGUUUUUUUUCCCUUUUCUAUGUGCUUUAAAUAUAUCAUUGUUAUUAUUUAUAUUUAAUCCAAUGAACUCAAGUUUGUGGUAACAAACCACAUUCUCUCAACGACGUAAGGAGUACCAAGGUGUUUUGUCUCGAGAACAAGGAUAAGUGUAAAUCCUAGUAGUGUAAAUCUUUGAGAAAAUAAUGUUUACCAAGUAAUUAUGUGCAAUUGACCUUUUAUGUUUAGUGGAUUUUUGCUUUGUAGUCCAUCGUGCCUAUAAUUUUCAUAUUCAUAAAGUGUCUUGAAAGAUUUGUAAGUGGUUUUUUCAUAGAUGGUUUGCUCUAGGAGAGAACUCCAGGCGAAUAUGAAGUGCAUGGAUAUAAAUUAAAGAUAUCUCAUGAAGAAUUCAACUUAAUAUUGUAUUUUAUUAUAUGAAUGCAACAUUUUACCUUGUCAAACCCGGGCUUUUUGAUGCAUACAAAUAUUUUUGUUAGAACGUUGAUACAUAACUAAUAGAUUACUUAUAGUAUCUCCAUUACCUAAUAAAAUGAUCUUGUUAUGCAAUUGAAAGUUUUGCUUUUAUUAAUUGAACACAUUAUAACAAAAAAAAAAUUACAAAAAAUUAAAAGAUCCAUUGGACUAAUAAUUGAUGAGGACCACUUAUAUACUUGCUUAAGUAGUUCCAUGAUACAACUUCCUAGGCUUUGUUUGGUAAUUAUAUUUUAAAACAAAAAUUUUAUUUUCUAAAUAAAAAAAUAGAAAAACUUAUUUGAUAAUAAGAAAAUAAAAAUUAGUGUUUUGUUCUUAAAAAUAAAAAUUAUAACGUUUUAAGAUAACAUCUUUCAUGUGUUUUUUAAGAAUUGUUUUAAAAAAUAAUUAUAUAAAUAUAUAAAAUGAUUAAAACUAAAACACUACCAUAAAAAUUAUUUUUAAAACAUUGAGAAUAUGUUAACAAUUAUUAAAAAUAGUUUUUGAAAAAAUAUUUUAUAGUGUUUUAUAAAGUAAAAGUCCAUUUAUGAAUUCAAAAUGUUUUUAACCUAUUAUAUAUGUUUUAAAAUUUUGUAUAAUUUUUUAAAAAAAUUUCUUAUAAAAAUUAUUGAAAGAAAAAUCUUAAAAAAUAUAAUAUAUAUAUUAAUUAUUGAGCCAGUCCUAAAUUUUGAAACUAGAAUUUAGGGAACAUGGUAUUGAUCCGUCGGUGGCUGCUGCCGCUGGAUCGAGUCCACAUGUGUACAUCUAUGAAGCAGCUGGCUCCUCCUUGAUUUCCGCGAUGUCGGUGCUGCCGACAUUCUAUUCCGGUUUCUUCCUAUAAUUGGAAACCGGAUCGGGUGUGUGGGGGUCCGCCCUACUGGCCCUACAUCAGGCGGUCCACAUCUCAUCUGAUAUUCACUGCUUAUGAAUCUAUGAUUAGUGAAGCUACCCCGCCCAUAUUUUCUCAAAUUCUUUUUGAUGAAUGAUAAGGCUUUUGGUUAUCUUCUUAAAUGCUCAAAAAUAAAUUUUUUCAUUUUAAGUCAUGAAUAAAAUUAUAAAUAUGAAAUUCAUUUUUUUAUUUAUCAUAAAAUGUUUUUACGAAACAAAAUAGGAAAAACACGGUAGAAAGAUUUUUUUUUUUUUUUUUUAAAGAAGAAUGCAUUUUGUAAUUUAUCCCACUUUUUAUAAUAAAUAAAAUAAAAGAAUUUUUUUAUUAAUUUUUCUGCAACUUUUAUAAUGAAUAGAUGAGAGAAUUUCCAAAAAUAGUUUUGAAGGUUUAGUUAACAAUUGUUUUUCAAAAUAAUUUUCUAUUUUUUAAAACAAAAAGAAAAAAGAAAACAUGUCUAAUAAUAAGAAAAUCGAGAAUGAUUUUUUUAUCUUAAAAACAAAAAAAAUAAGGUAUUUUUUAAUAAUAUAUUUUAAUUAUUUUUAUUUAUUUUUUGAGAACGGUUUAAAAAAAUAAUUAUAUAAAUAAAAAAUAAUUAAAAAUAAAAUAUUAAAAAUAAAAAUUAUUUUUAAAAUAAAUUUAAAAAUAUAAAAAACAUAUUAAAAAUAUUUCAAUUCUUAAAUAUAUUUUUACCCUACAAAAUAUUAAAAAAUAGUUUUCAAAAAGCAUUUUUUUAACGAUAUUUCUCAUAUGGGAGUUUAAUUUUACGUGAACAAUACCAAAAGUGUGCAAAUAUAAGAAUGAAGGUGGGCAAGGGAGUCAAUUUGCAAGGAAUGAAAGAAAUAAAAAAGAGAUGGAACAUGAUGGAGUAGUAGCAAUACAAUCUUUGCUUUUGUAGAUACUCCAAAUAAUAAAUAUAGAGAGGAGGAAGUGGGGGAAGUGUUGAAUACUUGCAAAGAAUAAUAAAUACGAGCAUGAAACGAGGCCGAUUGAGUGCGGGAGUAGUGACUCCCACGACAUUGUAUUUGUCGGUGAUAUGUGUUUCACUCUUGCCUCCCUCUUUCUCCUUUCUCCUUUCUCCCACUCCCUUUCCUAAAGAGCGUGCAUCACACUCUUACCUUCCCCACUCAUUUUUGUGAGUCGAUUAUAAAAACAACUUUUUGUUUUCAAUGCUUUCAUUUGUAGAUGUUGUUUUAAAUACUCUCAUCAAUAGUGAUGGAUGAGCACUACGUUAAUACGACUUCCUUCUAUUAUUAUUAUUAUUUUUUCCAAUUUCAUUUUCUUUUAUCACAACUUAGAUAUCCCACGUCUAAGAACUUCUUUAAAUUUUAUAAACUUAUUUUAAAAUCAUGACUCAUUUAAGUUUUAUGAGAGUAUUUGUUUGUUUGAAUUCACAAUUUUAUGAAACAUAAUGAGGACAUUGUAUCUAAAUAUUCUCAUAAUAGUGAUGGAUGAGCACCACGUUAAUACGACUUCCUUCUAUUAUUAUUAUUAUUAUUAUUAUUAUUAUUAUUUUUCCAAUUUCAUUUUCUUUUAUAACCACCCCUGUAAGACCUUUUUUUAAAUUUUAUAAACUCAUUUUAAAAUCAUGACUCAUUUAAGUUUAGGAUGAACGAUAUCUAUAUGAUUGAAUAUAGGUUUUUAUCAAUGAUAUCAGAACUGAUCUCCGACUUCGAUGUGAGAGUUUAUUUAACCCCAUGAAAAGUGUCUAUUUAGCCUUAUGAGGGUAUUUGUUUGUUUGAAUUCACAAUUUCAUUAGACAUAAUGAGGACAUUGUAUCUACCUGUAGUGGUGUUUGUGAUAUCUUUAUAUCGAACAAGAGAGAAAGUUUUUGAUAUCAUAAGUAUGAACUCCAAUUAAUUUUAUAAAUGCGUUUUAAAGUCGAAAAAAUAUUUUUGGGUGCAGAACAGAUAAUAUCUAUACGAUUGCUUGUACACGUGUUUUAAAACUGUGAGGACCAAUUUGGGUUUAGAGCAAACAAUAUCUAUACCAUUAGAAGUAGAUCGUUACAUUAUCAAUAUGAAUUACCUCAAAAAUAAUUUUCUAAUAUUUAAUUUUAGGUCAUUACUAAAAAAUAGAUCUCACAUUUUUAUUUAUAUUUAUUUUGUUAUAUAUAGUAACAAAUUAUAAACAAAUUAUUUUACUUAGUGAUAACUAUAAGUUAUGUAUAAACCUCAUUUAAUAUCAUCAUUAUCACAUGUUAGGUACAAAUUAUUAUGCAGUUAGAAAUUAUCACAUGUCUCGAUAUAGCCUAAAAGCUACACAAGAAUUAUUAAUAAUUUAAGAGUAAAAUUAAUAUAUAUUUGAAGUGAAUGUAACGUUAAUACAAAUCUCCUUUCUUGAUUAUGAAUGUCAAAGUAAAAGUCAACAUAAUAAAAUAAGUCGCAUUAUAUCACCAUAAGUGAAACAAUAUUGAAAAUAAUUAUAAGUAUGAUAUAAAAGAACAUUAAUCACAUACGUACAUGAAUAUCUAAAUAUUUAGUCAACUUUUAUGAAGUCCCAAUAAAAGUAAAAUAUAUAUAUAUAUAUAUAUAUAUAUAUAUAUAUAUAUGAAAAUGAAUUUUAUUAAUAGCGCGGUAUAUUAGAUUCGAUUUACAUUGAUAUUGAUUUCUUUGAAUGUCUUGAUGAAAAUUGAUCUUCUAGCAAAUGAAUGAUAUGAAUACUCUUAUUGAUUUAUGAUAUAUAAUAUAUUGUCAUUAUAUUUAUUAUUUUUAUUUACCUAAUGUUUUUUUCAAAUAUUAUUAAUAUAUGAAAUUAUAUAUUCUAUUUCAAGAUGAACGAAAAAGAUAUGUCUCAUAAAUUGUGCAACCGCUCAUACAUUAACAAAAGUUAACGUCAGUUCCAUACUAGAUCCUGCAGACUUGAUUGGAGGUAAUAAGGAUAAUUUUUUGGUCCAUAUAUUACUUUUAAAAUAAAAAAUAGCAAUAACUUUUAUAUAAGAUAGGAGAACUCUAGUAAGCAUAUAUUAAAAACGUAAUAACUUUAAAAAAUAUUUUAAAAAUUGAGGUACUAAAUUUUUUUUACUACUUUAAAUUUUUAAAAAUUAUUUUUAAUCUAUACUUAAAAAAAAUGUAUCAACUUGAUGCUUAAUUUUUUAAAACUAUUAAAAAGUCAUAAUCCUUUCAAAGUAUGUUUUCAAAGAGUUUUUUCAUUUUAUAUGGAAGUUACUAUCAUUUGGGUUAUAUUUGGUUCUCGAAAAGUAUUACAGAAAAUAAUUUUCUUAUAUUUGGUUUCACUAUGAAAAAUAUGAAAGAAAAUCAAAUACAAUUAAAAUUAAUUAAAAAAUUAUAUAUUUUAAAAUUAUUUAAUCUUUAUAUGAUCAAAGAAAAUAAGUGAAAUAAAUUUCAAAAAACAUAUAAAAAUAAUUAUUGAUAUUAAAUUUAUUUAUUUUUUAUUUUCUUUUCAUUUUCUUUUCCUCACAUUUUCCCCAUAACUAAACACACACACAUAUAUGUAUAUAUAUAUAUAACAAGAAAUGUAUCCAAACAACACUCAAAUAUCUAAAAUAUUUUUUAAACUUAAUUUAUAUAUUUUUUUAAAUAAAAACCAUUUAAAAAAAAAUUUAACUUUCUUUGAUAAUUUCACAAGAAAAAGUUCUUGGUAUGCUUAAUCAUCUCAUUUAUGAUCAGAAUUAUAUAAUUUAUUACAAGGAUGCAAGAUUAUUUUGUCAAAAUUUCACGGAUUAAUUUUGACGAGUUUAGAGCUAAUUAUUUUUUCAUGACAAAAAUGUCAUACAAAAUUCCAUCAUUUAAUAAAUUUCAAAAUUUUAAUAAAUUCAAAAUUAAAUUUGAGACAACCAUAACCAUCAUACUCUAGAAAUUUGAAACCUAUUGAAUGCAUACAAAAUAACUAUUUUCAGAAGUACGUAGAAGUGAUCAUUGGCAGCACUUAAAUUUAAGUCGGAUUUGUGGCCAACUUGAAUUAAUGAACACUCACCUUGAAUUGAUAAACAUGAACUCAAUCUGUGUGCACUUGAAGUGAUUAAUCCAAACUUAAUCCAAUUUCAUUUUUCUGAAUUUAGGUUAAGUUUUUGUCUAACUGUUUUUCCUCUUCCAUUGAUUACAUACCAAACAAACAAUAAACGUGGAAUGAAAAAAAGAAAUAAACUAUGUAUUUUAAUAUCUAAUUUUAUUGAAAGACAAUGACGUGUUAUAAAGAUGAGUCUGGUAUAAAAUACCUAACAUUACAUAAAAUUCACUAUCUUAAAGUUCGUUAUUUUUUUAUGGGAUACCUAAAAGAUUAUUCAUUAUCUUGGUAAGAAUAAUGGGACCAUUUGUUUAUUUUUUUUAUAUUUUAAUUUUAAUAUCCUCUUUCAUUGUAUUAGAGUUAGGAAUUUGAAUCACUUUAGGUUUUUAUAAUGAUUUUUUGUCUAUAAUUUUUAUGUAUUUAUACUCAAAUUUUAAAAAUAAAUAAAAUAAUAUUUCAAAAUGAGUGUUUAAACCAAUUUAAAUAUCGAAUUAAAUUAACAUUUUAAAUUUAUGUUCACAAUCACCCAUUUCAUAUAAAAGAAGAAAAAAUUAAAAUACAUAUAAAACAAUACCAUGAAAAAAAUAUGACAAUUAAAAAAGUCUGUUAGGGUAGUAUUUGGUUGGUACAAGGAAAAGUCCAAAAUAAAAAACCCUUUUCAUUUCUAGGCAAAACUUGUGGUUCAUUGAUUGAACAACAUGUAUUUUUUUCAUAUUUUAUUUUAUUUAUUUAUUUUAAGAGCAUGAAUCUAACCUACAUGUGGACUAACUACAACAACCAAUGAAGGCCACCAACUCCAACCCUCCUUUGCACCACAAUUUCCAUGCUACUGUUAUAUGGCAAGUGUGGCUUUCAUCACCAACCCUUGAUUGUUACAUUUUACUUCCCCAUUUCUUUGGUGUUUGGUUGGUUUAUCUGCUUUCAUAGACUAUCAUUAAUCUUUCUUUUUGGUAGUCAAGGUCAACUUGGAAGAAUCUUUGAUUUUUUAUUUUGGAUUAUAAACAUUAAAAUCUUAUGUUUUAGUAAAAAAAAUAUAUUAAUAUUAUAAAAGUUUCAUUUUAUAUGAAAUAAUUUAAGAGAAACUUGAGAAUCUUGGAGUUUGGAGACAUCUUUUGUAAUUUAUUUUUGGACAAUAACUAAAAUGCAUGAAAUUUAAAAUAAAAUGUGAUAAAUACAAAAAUUUAACCUCUCUUUGAUUUAUGCUCUUAUCUUUUACUUAGGGCUAUUUUGGUUCUAAAAAUUUUGAAGGAAAAUAGAAAAAAAAUAGAGAGAAAAAUAACCAAAAAUAUAAAUUUCUAACUUUUAUUGUGAAACCAAACAUAAAAAAAAGAAGACUUCUUUUAGUAUUUUCUUUUUCUUUCCUUAAUAUUUUUGGAGAACCAAACAUAACAUAAAAGUUAGAAUCAAUCAUUAGGCCUUAACUUGAAUUCUUCAGUUUAUGCCACCACUUGAUUAGUUUUUCAUUGAUCCAUGUUGAUGUUAAACUUCAAGUGUUUACCUACCAUGGAUCUCUCUCUCACCAAUACGCACCUUAAUGUUUCACCAAAUCCUCAUUUGAUAACAAAUUUUAGAUCGCUUUCCCUUUCAAGUAAACCUUCAUUUUAAAGAAAUUUUAUAAACAAGAAACUUCUACAUGAAUGAAAUUUUUUCUUAGGAACCUUAAAGAGGUGUGAACUCUAAAUAACACCUAUGCUUCCCUUAAAGAAAGAUUUUACAUGCCUUUGUGACUGUUCAUGUUAACUGUUAUACUUGUGGGAUAUCUUCUACUAUCAAUUCUUCUUCUACAGCAAGAGAUUCUUCCUUCCAAUCUUCAAGAGACAUGCCAAAGACCAAUACUUGCCAUGCACACCCAUAGUCUAUACGAAUUGGCUAGCAAGAUACUAAAGUAGUCAAUCUUAACCUAACAUUACAUUAUGCAAUGAAUAAGAUAGAGAGAGCGGUAGAAUAUUAGAUUCCCUCAUAAUACCAUUGUUAUAACUAGACUGCAUGGUUUAAUUAAUACUUGAUAAAUUAUGAUGAUAUCCUAUAAUAAUGUUGUGCAUGCCUUCAAGAUAGUGGAUAUUUUAAACUAAAGAUCUAUAAUCAUUUGAGAUUUCAUUUUGGAUAUUUCAAAAAUCACUUUUUACAAUAAAAUCACUAUAUUUGAUAAAAUAAAUGGAAAGUGAUCCAAAAUAGAUAACCUAUAGCUUUUUGUAAGCAAUUUUCUAAGAAUUAGGUAGUUUUUUCUACAUUCAACCUAAAAGUCAAAACUCUUAAUAGACAAAUUGCCAUCUUUUUGUGGAACUUUUAGGCCUUAGCUUGAAUUCUUCUAAUAAUGCCACCACUUAAUUGGCUUUUCAUUGAUCAUUUUUUAUAUUACACAUAAUGUGUUUACCUAUCAUAGAUCUCUCUCUCACCAAUAUGCACCUAAAUAUCUCACCAAACCCUUCUUUGAUAACAAAUUUUAGGUCGCUUUCCAUUUCAAUUUAACCUUCAUUCUUAAGAAAAUUUUUAGACAAUAAUCAUCAGUUAAAUGAAAAAUUUUCCGAAGAUAGAACCCUAAAGAGGUGUGAAUUCAAAAUAACAUCUAUGUGUUCCUUCACUCAAUUUUAACCUAACGUUAAGUCAUGCAAUGAGUAGAGUAGAGAGACCAAUUGGAUCUUAUGGUCAUUUAAAAUCUUGGAUUCUUGUAGAAUAACAAAGUUUUGACUACCCUAUUAUGUAAUUAAUACUCGAUGAGUUAUGAUCAUAUCCUACGAUUAUGUUGUGAUGGCCUCCAAGACGGUCCAUAUUUUAAAUUAAAGGCCCAUAAUAAUUUCAUAUUUGAUUUUAGAUCUUUCGAAAUCACUUUUUAUAACACAACAAAAGUAUUUGUUCAACCUAAUAUUAUGUAUUUUAUUAGAAAAUUUCAAAUAAAGAAAUUAUCUAAAUCAAACAUGUAUUUUCCAAUUAAAUUGAAUUAUGCUAAUUAAAUGCUAAAAUUUAUUUAAAUUUUAUAAUUUUAAUACAUGUAACACUUUAACUAGAGAAAUUCAACUAAUGAAUUUGUUUAAACAAAAAAGGGUUUUCCAAUUAAAUAAACUUUGUUAAUUAAAUGCUACAAUUUAUUUAAAAUAAAAAUAAAAUAAAAUUAAAAUUUGCUAAUUAAAUACUACAAUGCAUUUAAAAUUCAUUAUUAUUUUUUAUUUUGUAGAGCUUUAAGUAAAAAAUUCAGUUAAUGGAAUUAUUUGGGCAUGUAAAAACGUCACCAUUUUCCUUUUUUUUUUUCUAAUUAAAUUGAAUUUUCCAAUUAAUUGCUACAAAGUCAAUUUCAAUUUUCACACAAGCUAAUUGACUAAUUCACUCAAUUAUUCCUUCAAAAAAACAUAACAAUCUCAACCUACAAAAUAAAGAAAUAAAAGAAAAAAAGAAAAAUCUCAUCCAAAUAAUAAAGCCCAAACCAUAGGCCCAAAUAUAUUUUGUUCCAAGAAUAAAUUUAGAUUGAGGUUAGCCCAACAUGGAUGUUCUACAAAUCGAGGCCCAAAUCUGUGAAUGCGUAAGCUCAAUUUCGUGAUUUUGAGUCAACUCAGUCACAAUAUUAAUUUCAACACCAUCAAAAUCCAACUCAAUUAGCCUAAAGAACCACAAAAGAGAUGAUUUUCUUUUGAAACUGGUGUGUUCAAUUCACAACCUUCAAUCGAUGUUGUAUUUUGAAACAUGACUUCAUUUGAAAACAAUGUUUUCAAACCAUGACUUCUAUUGAUUAAAUGGGCGAUGAACCAAUAAAAAGCACACAAGAACUAGCUUAUAUACAUAAAGGUUAUGUUUCUUUCUCAGAAAGUUUGAAAGAAAAUGUGAGAAAAAGAAAAUAGAGAGGAAAAAGAAAAAAAAAAAGAAAAAAGACAUAAGAAAUAUAUUUAAAAUUAAUUAAUUUUUUUUAUAUACUACUUCAAACUUUUUUUUCACUUAUUUAACUUUUCUAUAUAAAGGUUAAAUAACUUGAAAACAUACAAAAUUCUUAAUAAUUUUAAUUAUAUUUGAUUUUCUUGCGCAUUUUCCUUAACAAAUUCAAAUAUAAGAAAAUAAUUUUCUUUUAAUAUUUUUUUUCUAGUACUUUCAUUCCUUUUUGUAGAAAAUUUUGUAUAAAAUAUUUUCUUAGUUAGUAUAUUAUUGUAAUAUUAUAUUUCCUUAUAAAAUAAGAAAAGUUGUUAGAAAUAAUAUCUUUAUAAAUAUUCUAAACUAUGAAAAGAAAAAGUUAUAAAACGGAGAUGUGCUAAAAACUAUAUAAGGUGGAUAAUGGGAGACACCCAGUUGAGAGAAAGACUUGUGGUUUAAGGUGUACAUAGAUAACAAGGAGCGAGAUGUUUGGAAUCACGUUAAAACCUCGUGUACUUUUAUAUAAUUGUUUUAUUUUUGUGUUUUUAAUCUAGCAUUGUUUGCAUUAAAACUUUGGAAAACAUAAGACCCAACCAUACAUAGCUAGAAUAUUCUAGGUGUAUUGAUUUGAUAAGAUAUCUCCUACUUGUUUAAAUAUUAGUUUUGGCCAAUCUUCUCCUAUCUUCAUAUUUUGUGGAGUCGAAUAUGGAAAUGAUCUUUCUUUACAUUGGGAUUUCUCGAUAGGAAGAAAUUACACAUGCCUUUUUGUGUUUUUAAUAUUGUUUGCAUUAAAACUUUGGAAAACAUAAGACCCAACCAUACAUAGCUAGAAUAUUCUAGGUGUAUUGAUUUGAUAAGAUAUUUCCUACUUGUUUAAAUAUUAGUUUUGGCCAAUCUUCUCCUAUCUUCAUAUUUUGUGGAAUCGAAUAUGGAAAUGAUCUUUCUUUACAUUGGGAUUUCUCGAUAGGGAGAAAUUACACAUGCCUUUUUGUGUUUUUAAUCUAGCAUUGUUUGCAUUAAAACUUUGGAAAACAUAAGACCCAACCAUACAUAGCUAGAAUAUUCUAGGUGUAUUGAUUUGAUAAGAUAUUUCCUACUUGUUUAAAUAUUAGUUUUGGCCAAUCUUCUCCUAUCUUCAUAUUUUGUGGAAUCGAAUAUGGAAAUGAUCUUUCUUUACAUUGGGAUUUCUCGAUAGGGAGAAAUUACACAUGCCUUUUUGUGUUUUUAAUCUAGCAUUGUUUGCAUUAAAACUUUGGAAAACAUAAGACCCAACCAUACAUAGCUAGAAUAUUCUAGGUGUAUUGAUUUGAUAAGAUAUUUCCUACUUGUUUAAAUAUUAGUUUUGGCCGAUCUUCUCCUAUCUUCAUAUUUUGUAGAAUCGAAUAUGGAAAUGAUCUUUCUUUACAUUGGGAUUUCUCGAUAGGGAGAAAUUACACAUGCCUUUCUUUCUAAAGACCUUUAACAGCAAUAUGUAUAAGUUGUCAAUCAACAUGUCCGAGCUUACACCUUCUUCCACAAUUUCCAUCCAAAGAUACAAAGAAUAUAUAUAGUUUGAACUCUCGUUUGAGGAAGCAAAAAACUCCUGGCAUGAACCCAGAGCUAGCUACAGCACUGCCAUUGGAGUACUGGACCGAUCAAAGCUGCUAUGAACGGCUCUCGAUCGGUUCUUCUUCUUAGGCCAAUAUCCAAGUUGAUCAUGAGCCUCUCUAGCUCCUAACAUUCCAUUCCCAAAUGGAAUCGGAGCCGGUGCGGGAACUUGCGCGACGCCUUCUUUGGUGGCACCUACAUUACUCAAUAUCCUCACAAUUCCUAAGUAGUUUAAGGACUCAGCUAUCUGCAGUGCAGUUACGCCUUUGUUGGUGCGAGCUUCUACAUCUGCGCCCUUCUUUACUAACAAUUCGAUCACAUCAACGUGUCCAGACUCCACAGCGCAAUGCAGGCCUGUAUAUCCAUCUUCUUCUCUAGCAUCAAUGUCCACCCCCUUCUCUAUCAGUGCCUUGACAGCUUCCAUUCGACCCUUGAAUGCGGCUCGGUGCAGUGCUGUCCAUCCAUGCUGGUCCCGCCCGUUGAUUGCUGCUCCAUUCUCAAGCAGCUUGUGGAUUGUCCUCACUUCGCCUUUCCUAGCUGCGGCGCACAGGUUGUCCCCUAGGCUGAGGGCAUCGUAAAGGCGAGUGUGGCCGUACUCAGCUGCUACAUCGUAUGCCGUUUUCCCAGACCGGUUUCGGAUGUCUUUGUUUGCCCCCUUUUGCAGCAAGAGCUUCACCAUGUGCUCAUCGCCUAAGCCUGCAGCAAUGUGUAAGGGUGUGUCCCCGUUCUUGUUCCGAACAUCAGCCCUAGCACCGCUGGCCAGCAACAGUCUCGAGCAGUCCCGUCUUCGCUCCAUGGCUGAUAGGUGUAAGGCUGUGUUGCCGUCCUUUGUGAUGGCGUCAGCGUCAGCCCCCUUGAGUAAAAGAAGCCUCAAAACCUCCAUGUGACCUCCUCUCGCAGCCAGGUGAAUUGGGCCCAAGGUAGAAGAUUGGGAGCGCUCUGUGCUGGCUCGAUGAGCCAACAGGAGCUCCACGAUCAACGCUUCUCCAGACGCCGCCGCCGCCUCCAGUGGCGUGGACCCUGACCGGCUCUGAGCCUCCACAUCAGGCUCGAACUCAAGGAGCAAUUGAACCAGGUCGGCUCUACCUUGAGUAAUAGCCAGGUGAAGUAAUGUUUGGCCAUGCGAGUCAACUGAGUUUGCUCCAUUCCACGCCGAGUCACUCCUCUCGAGCACCUCCCUAACUUCAUCCAUGGAUCCAUCUACAACAAGCUGGGCCAAGAUUGGCGAUCCAACAAACAUGAUUCUGAUGCCGCUGUCGAUGAACACUUGCUUCUUCUUUGUGGUGAACCAGUCAUUAGGAACAGAUUCAACAGCUGCGCCAGGGACGACACAGCUGUGUAGAAGGAAGGAAUCAUCACAGUGAGGAAACGAAUUGGGAAGCAAAGAUCCCGGAGGGAGAUGAUAAGAUAUCUCUACAGUGAGGGUGGCGAGAGGCGCUAUGAUUGCCAUCUGGGGCUUCACUGUGUACCGCAUCUUGUUCAUUGGUUGAAGCCGGAAGGCUACAGGCAUGGUGUACAUAACAUUCCGCAAGAUGAGCUCCCCGUAACACUUCUGGCCAGGUUCAAUCCUGAUUGCAACAAGGUUUGAGGGCUCUAAGCUUAUGAGCCUGUCCAUCUUUACCUCUCCUAUACAAAGAUGUAUGUAACCUUCCAAUUCUCCUUCACUGAGUAUUUCCUUCUUUCUUGAGACUAAACCUUGAUGGGUUUUAAAAGAAAGGCAAAACCCAUGAAGAGAAACCGAGAUUAAACAUGAGAGAUGAAGAAGAUGGAGGUAUUUGAAGGAUGGAAAACAAGGCCGGCACUGCUGAGAGAGUGCCACAUGGUGGGUGUUAAAACCAAAGCUGACUUGUUCUAUUCGGCCUGACAACUGUAUAGUUCCUAAGACACAGUUGUACAAGUCAAAAAACUAAGCAACACUUGCAUAAUUUUUUUCUGCAGAAGUCAUUUUCAGUCUUCAUAUUAAAUCAUAGACACAAACACAAGAAAGAGAGAAAGAAAGCAACUGUCAUAUAUUAAUGUAUUUGUGUAUUAUGCAGCAAAGUAUCAUUUAUUUUUUAUUUUUUUUAAGUAACAAAGUACUGCCAUAGGAGAAUAUCAUAUUCUAGCUUGUGGAAAGUCCAAAGGAAUAAUAUGAUUUUGAUGAUUUCAAAAACAUCUCAGUGUGAAAUGAGGGCUAUAUGAUGGAGUGGUGUUGUUUACUUGGCCAACUAUAGGGACAAAUUGACAAUAAUGCUAUAACAUUAGUGAUCUUGUUGAUUGGGUCAUCUUCCUUUUAUUUAUUUCCUUUAGGGGAGUGUUCCAUUUGGGCGUUUGGCUAUACACAACUCAACCAAACAACAGAAACUUGUCUCUUUGCUCUAUUGGAUCGUGUGUUAUAUGUGUGGAAUAUUCAUUUGUUUGGUGGACUCUAGGCUUGCUUUGCCUUGGUCAAUUAAUAUUUUUCCUCUAGACAUAGCUAGCGUUGGACCUGCAAAAUUUUUUAUGACCUAUUCUUUGAUUGUAAUGCACCAUAAAGGCCAAUAAUAGAAACACCCAAUUCAUCACAUACCAAUCAUAUUAUAUUGCAUCAUUCUCUGCGGGUUAAUCAAGCCAUUAGAGCUGGGAUAUUUUAUUUUCGAAUUUGAUGGGUGCUUAGAUGUCUAUUAAUUUACUAUUUCUUGGUAUUAAAGUUAAUAGGUGCUUAGAUGUCCAUUAAUUUACCAUUUCUUGGUGUUAAAGUAAGAAGAAAAUUAAGUGUUUUCUGUAAUAUUGGUAUUGGUGCAGUUUAGGGUCUAUUUGGAAAACAGAUAUUUGAUUUCUCAAAUAAAAUUUUAUUUUUUAAAAUCUGUUUUUUGAGAAAUAUUUUAAAAAAAACAUUACUUAGUACUAAGACUUAUUCAAUAGUUUUUUUUAUUGAUUAAUAUCCAAAGGUUGGAAGAGAUAGUGGAUGAAACUUAAUGGGUAUUAGGCAAAUCAACGUAAUAAUUUAAAAUGAUUUAAUAACUUAAUUUAAGUUAUUAAGUAAAUUAAAUAUAUUUGAUAAAAUAAUUUAAUGGUAUAACUUAAAAUAAAAAAUAACUUUGAGUAAUAAAUAAAAAUAAUUAACUUAUUAUUAAUUUCAUAUUUUUAUUUUAGUUUUUUUAUCUAUGUUUGCCCUAAUUACUUCUAUAAUUUCUUUUGUUACUUCAUAACUUCCAUUGUUAUUCAACUUCUUUUACCAUAAUUAUAAUUUAUGAGAAUAAAUAUUUCAAUUUGAUGAUUUAAAAUAAAUUUUAUCAAAUAAGUUUAAUACUUAUAAUAAAAAUUAAAUAAUAAGUUUUAAAUCAAUAAUUUAAAUAUAAUUUAUUUUAAAGUCAACUUAAAUUAUUAAGUAAUUAGUACUAAAUUUUACCAAACACUUCUAAAAAUAUGCUUUUUAUCACUAAGUAUGUUCAUUUAUUUAUUUUUUGAUUUGGUGGUUUAAUAUGCUUAAAUGUUUUAAAAUGAUUUGUUUUUUAAAUUAAGUUUUAUUUUCAACUAUUUUAAUUUUAAUUUUAAAUUUGAGGUUUGAAUGGUACUUUAACAUCUAUUUCUAUUUCGAUUUUGGACUAAAAAACAAAUGCCAGCUAAAUAGAGAGAAGAUUAAGGAAGAAGGAUAGGAUGAAACUAGGAAUAUCCCUUUAUGAAAAUGCAAAAUAUGUUGUAUUAAAAGUUAGUUUAUACUAAUUGAAAUGUUGCAAAAACUCAAUGUUAACUAAUUAAUAAAACUAUGUCUAACCAUAAAGUAAUUUGGGUUUUUAUAGGAGUUUCAUUGUUAGGAGGAAAAUUAUGUUUAAAAAUAAAAAUACUUGGAAGUGUAUAUUAAAAAGGGAUAUUCCAAAAUUCCUACUUAUUGGAUUGUAAAACUUGAAUUAAUUUUAUUAUGUUUCACUUAGAAUGUCGGAGGUUGAACUUCUUGUUGAGCUCACAGGAUCGAGUUGCCUAGUUAGUUUAUGACGAUUGAAGGGGGUAGCGCCUCUUGGAAAUUUUUUUUUUAUAUAAUGAAUAACAAGUUUAUCCUUCUUAUAUAUUUAACCAUCUUAUAUUUUAAGGUUUUCAUUUUUUUUUUUGGAGAGCGUUGUUGUAAUUAAGAGUAGUUUUUUAGAGUUUUAUCAUUAUACUCCUUUUCAUUCCUUUUUAUCAAUGGAUUCUUGAGUAUCCGUGCACUCUAUGGACAUAGGAAUCACAUUGAUUGUUGAACCAUAUUAAUUUUUUUUUUCUACUCGUAUGCUUGUGUGAUUGGAUUAAUACUGUUGAUAUAUUUUUCUUAUUUUCUUUUUUCAAGUUUCCAAAAGGCAUAUAUAAUAACCACAUGUUAGAAUUUAGAAUUACUUUUUAUUUAUAAUUGCACUUCAUAGGUGAAACUAAAAAAUAAAAAUAAACUGAGAAUAGAUGUGAAUCACAAUACAAUGUAGAAGAGAAAAUAAAAUUUUAAUUGGAAUAAAAUUUGAUUUUCAUAUUAAUGAAUUUUUACUAGUAUUCUUAUCCUAAAUAAAAAUCCAAAUAUAUUAUUAAAUAAGAAUGAAACAUGACUUAUACGUAGUUGCACUCCAAGUUUAUAUUGCAGAAUUGCAAUGCAUGGAGUUGAGAUGCCUCACAUAUAUGACCAUAUUCCCAACUUGAAGACUGCAGUAAACUGCUAAAUAAGAAGAUUUCAAAUGAAAUAAAUAUGAAAAAUAUUUGCAUUUGUUCAGAUCAUAUGGCAUGGGAUUGGGACAAAGGUAUUUGGGAAGCUUUUGUUAGUGCCUGAUAAAGGCUACUGUAAAAGCCAAAUGGGGAGCUUAGAGUGACAAAUAAUAAUAAUAAACAAUUUCAUAGACUGUUAAUUCUUAAGAGGGGUUUUGUUACCUAGUGAUUUCUCUUAUGCCUUCUUAUGAUUUCAUUAAUUAAUUUUUUUAUUUUACAAGAAACCCAUUUAAAUAUUUUUCUUUUUGUAGUGAUAUGGUGUAUUCAAUUGAUGCAUAAAGACAUAUAAUAGGCUAAAACUACCUCAUGUUGUCUGUUACUAAGCAUCAUUGUUACAAUAAGAUCAUGGGGUGGUUCCAUAUCCCCAACCCUGUCUUUAUCAUAGAAGCUUUUUGGCCAAUCAUACAUGUAAGAAUGUGAAAAUGAGAAGUGUGUUUAUUUUGAAAAAUGGACUCAUAAAAUAUGGUUGAUAGCAACUGUUCUAAAGACAUUUUUUGCAAACAAAUAUUUUAAAAAUAUAUAUUUUUUGGGUAUUUAAAAAAAUAAAAGCACUUUUAAGUCUUGUUUGGACAGCAUAUUUAACUUCUUGAUUUAGUAAUACAAGAAAUAGGAGAAGUUACUAUUAUAGCAGGUUUGAAUUUUAUGUUUAGAAACUAUAUUUUAGAAAUAUUUUUUAUUAAAUAAGAAUAAUUAUGAUAUUUUUAAAAAGUUUUAAUUAAUUUUUUUUUCUUAUUGAUCUUCCUAUCUCUCCAAAAUAUGGAUAAAUCAUAUUGAGACAUACUUUUAAAUUUAUGUUUGACCUACAAACAUUGUAUUUUAACAUUUGCGAAAUUUAUUUGAAUAAGACUUUAAUAUAUUAAGCCUUUUCAUAAAUUCAUUAUUUUCAAUAAAUAUAAAAGAAUUGAUUCAAAUAUUGUCUUAAAACAUUAUUUCUAUUCUCAGUCCCAAAUAGAAUUUUAUCACAAGCUUUAGGCUAUGUUUGGAUCUUGAAAAGUUCAAAGAAAAAUGCGAGAGAAAGAAAAUGGAGAGGAAAAGUAGAAGAAAAAAAAAUUUUAAAUCAAUAAAUUAUUUUUAUAUAUUAUUUUAAACUUUUUCCACUUAUGUAACUCUUCUAUAUAAAUAUUAAAUUAUUUAAAAAUAUAGAAAUUUCUUAUUAAUUUUAAUUGUAUUUGAUUUUGUUUUUCUUUUCUAGUGUUUUUCGCGAACCAAACAUAGUGUUCAUUUAUUAAAAAAAUAAGAUUUGUCUUCUUGCACACCAAGAACCAUGCUCUUAAAUACAUAUGGUGCAUUGCCAUAUAAACUUCAAAAUUAUUUAUUUAUUUGUUUUAUAGCAAAAAAAAUAAUGUUCAAAUAAAUGUAAGCCAAUCUUCAACUAAAAUUUUAAGAAAAGAAUUGUCUUAAUCACUAUGGAUUCAUGCAAUGAAGCCGAAGGCUUACCAAGUCUAAGAUAUUCAAUUUCUUGAAUAUUUAAAUUGCACUUGGCAUGGAGUCUUCCUCCUAACUUUCUCUAAGUAUGCCUUUUCCAUCACUAAAUAUUAAAUAACAUCACUAGAUUGAUUGCCACUAGAAGCAGCUAUGAGUAUUGAACUAUAGGCCUUCAUAGAUUGAUUGAACCAUUGAUUCAAUCAUUAUGGUUAAACAUUGAAUCUUAAAUCAUAUAGUGAUUUAACAUAAUCCUGACCUACAUCCCCUCUCCUCUAACUUCUAUCCAAAGUUUGAGGUUCCACUAUACCAAGGUUUCCAAACCAAGUAUUAAGACAUUACACUUAUGUUAAUUGGCUCAAAUGGACACUUUAUAAUCUUCCUCAAGAGAUGCCUUUAUAAGGAAUCUCGGAUCUCUCCAUUUCCUAUCCCAAGAGUGUUUGGAAUGGUGCAGACUAAAACUCUCAUUUCUCUCUAAAUAAUGGAAAAGACGAUUGAAAGAAUUAGAAACCCUAAUCUCUAAGGGGGUAUUAAUAGGGUUCCUUAUUGGGCUUUAGUGACUUGAAUGCAUUAAGGGUUUUGAUCACUUAAUCUAGCUUAAAAAGGUCCUUAUUGAUUAAUUACCCUAACAUGAUUGUUUAAUUAAUCAAUUUGCUCAAUUUAGAGAUUUUGUUCACUAACACAUGUACAAUCUUACAAAGUUACCAAAAUACCCUUACAAACCAUGUCAUUAAGGUAUAUGAGCUUGAGUGAGGACCAUUAGGACCCAUAGGAUAGUACUAGUUCCCAUCAUAAUCCAAUUCUAAGGUUGAUUCAACAUCCUACUACAGAUAAUAAUGAGACAAAGUUUCGUUUCAUAACCUACUAUUCACUGCAUGGAGAUUUCCCAUGAAUUGGUGUUUGUAAUCUAACAAGGUAGUGCUAUCACCUAUUAAGAUUACCUUUCCAAUCCUUGAGUUAUAGAUCCACUUAUUGUGUGAUCAAUUGACAUAAUCUAACUCUAAGGAGCAUAUGUCAAAUUUCCACUAAAGAAAAUGUUAUGACCAGUCUUUUAGAUCACAUGUUCUUUGGAUCACCCAAAGAAAUACACUGUCUUAAUCCUAUGAGAUAUCGUGGUGCUUCUAUUAAGAAUACUUGUUACCACCAAUCUCCAGCAAUAGUGACCCAAUCCACAGGGAUAUGUGACCACGUCGAGGUGUUACUCAUAUAUGAAAGCCACCUAUUGAUUUUGGCAUAGGUUCAAUAUCAUUUUUAGGUUGAGAGUUCAUACAAUAUAGUAGUUUGGUGAAUUAUGACAAUCGAUAGCCUUACAUCAUGAUUCACCGUAGGUUUUAUUCAAUGUGUAAUCAUACAUACUAGUGCACUCACAAUGAGAAACUUAUCCAAACAGUCAAGACAAGUCAUUUCUCCAAUUAAGAGGUAGUGCAUUGCAAUCUUUACUAGAUUGCCUAAAUCCAUGAAUUGAUUGUGAACACUUUAUCAUCUUUCAAAGAAUCCAUGAUUUGUAUCAUCUAUGCAACUCUUAAUGUACUCAAGUCAUGUACAAUACAAGUGAUAAAAACAUGCAUACUUAGAUAACCAAUUAAUGUACAUGGUAUAGUAAAAUGAACAAGAAGCAAAAAUAAAUAAAUAAAUUUAUUAAUGUAUCUAAAAAUUGUUACAUCAUGUCAUGCUUUCUAGGGUUCUAUUCCAAUAGUGUUGCUUUUGAACCCCCAAGUGAUACCUCCACAUUUGUCUAAGUAAUACCCCAUACUUAAAUUUUUCCUUCUAGUGAUAUCUCAUACUUGAACCCACCUCACAAGGUUUACAAGAAUUGAAAUUCUCAAUACAAAUUCUUAGUUUAUAAAUCUUUUAGAAUAAAAUGAACUAGGAUUGAAAUGUACAAUAAGAACAUAAUGCAAGUUUAAGCUUAAUACACUCAAAAAUAUUUUUCAUAAGGCUUAAGAGAUGAUUAAAUAAUAGUUUGAAACUCUUCUCUAUUUUAUAAAUGAAGUAUAGAGUCUAUAUAUAGAGUUAAAAGGUGAAAGUAAGCGUUAGAAAUAAGUCUCCCAGGAGUAGACGUCUACAUGAUCUUCCUCAUAUUAGCCGUUAGAGCAUUUAAUGAGGUGCAAAGAAUCAUUGGAGGCUAAAAAGUAGAUAUAGACGUCCAAGUAGCCGUUUGCAUUGCCAAGUGGUCAUCCAAGUGGACUUCCAAAUGGGUUCCAUCUUAGGAACUUUGAAUUACUUCAUUCCUUGACCUUGGAUCUCGUAGAGUACAUGCAUUCCAUCCUAGCCUUUUCUAGAUCUAAUGUAACAAAAAAAUAUGAUAUCAAAAACCAAAAUAGAUAUUAGAAGAAUCAUUCUCAAAUCAAAUCCAAUAUGAAGAAGAUGUCAUGGGCAUCAUAGAACUCGUCUACCUAAGGGUUUUUCACUUGAUUCCUCCCUCCAUGGAUCUUGGCACAAGAGAAUGAUGGGUUUCACUUCCUCUCUUGAGGGUAACUAGGGUUUUUUUCAAUCUCUAUCUAAAAGAUGAUGGUGAAAAUGACAAAAAGCCUUAACCCUUAAUCCUUAAACCUUAAGGGGGUUUAUAUAGGGUUCCUUAUGGGCUUAAGUGACUUGAGCCCAAAUUGGGAUAUUGUCACCUAAUCUAGCCAACUUGGGUCUUAAUUAAUUAAUUAGCUCUAAUGAGCUCUAAUUACUUAAUUAGAUCAAACUACCAGUUUAAAAAAACCUUCAUAAGAUCUAGUGCAACCUUGCAUUUUUACCAAAAUGCUUUUAUGCAUACUUAUGAACUACAAACCAAAAUCCUUCAAAUAACAUGUACCACCAUGAGCUAAAAGCUCCAACGAGGACUAUUAGGACUCAUAAAAAAAUACAAAAAUACUGACUCCCUCAUAAUCCAAUUCUAAAGUUGAUUCAACACUUCAUUAAAGAAAGUCAACUACACUAAUAUAAGAAAAUAUCGACUUCUUCAUUAUAUAUCUUAAUAGUUUUGUGAAAUUAUUAUAUGUUGACGACGUACACUUUUAUUAUUGGUUAAGAUGAUAAUUGAUUUGCAAUGUUUUUGACAUGAAGGAUCUAGGAGGUGCUAGACAAAUCUUAGGGAUGUAAAUCACAAGAAGUUAUGAUUAUCUCAAGAAUAAUAUAUUGAAACACAUGACUUGAAUUUCAAGAAGUUAUGAUUAUCUCAAGAAUAAUAAAUUGAAACACAUGACUUGAAUUUCAAGAAGUAUUGAAAGAUUCUUUUAGAGGAAUGGUAUGAAAGAAGCUAAGCAAGUUAGGUCCCCUCUUGGUGGUCACUUCAAGAUUUUCCUAACUUCAAUGAAGAGAAAAAGAAAGAAAGUAUUCCUUACUCCUUAAUUAUAGGGAGUUUGAUGUAUGUUAUGGUAUCUACAAGCCCAAAUAUAAUUCAUGCAAUUAGAGUUGUAAGUAGGUUCUUAUCUAAUCCAGGAAAAGGGCAUUGAGAGACAAUAAAAUGGAUCUUCAAGUGCUUGAUAGGUAGCUCAAGCAUGUGCUAUGUUUUGAAAGAGCUUGAUCGUCUAAAAGGGUUUACAAAUGUAUAUGGUUGAUGACAUUAAUAGUAGAAAAUCUACACGUGGCUAUUUGAUCAUUUUUGUAGGAGUCAUGUCAUGUCAGGCUAAAUUACAACCACUAAAAUAAUAAAGGAGAUGUUGCGGUCAAAGGUUCCCCCCCCCCCCCCCCCCCAAAAAGAAUUGAGUUUCCCCCCCCAAAGAAUUGAGUUUAGAAGAGAGGCAGGGUGCUAUGGGUCCAAGCAAUAGCACCAUGUAUCAUACCACCUUACAAUGCUCACCCUUAUUUCCAAAAUUUGAUAUUUGCAUAAGGAACUCGAAAAGAAAGCUCGGAACAAGCACCCAAAUAUUUGAGAAGUGCAUUAGUGAAAAAUAUAUGUAUUUAAUGCCUUGUUAGCAUCCAAAGAAUCCUUUGGGAACAUUUUAUAUUAUUAUUAAGUUUUAAAAACAAAUGUUUUUAUUUCUAGAAAAAUGUUAAUUUGGCAAUUGGAUUGUUUAUCAAGUUAUGGACUUCCAAAUUUGGGCUCAAAGAAUAAAGGCAAAAUUAUUGAAUGAGAUAGACAAUUAUCAAUUCCACCAUACCCAAUAAGGAAAUGCAAAAACAUCUUUCUUACUUCUUUUUUUCCAAAAAAAAAAAAAUCAAAAUAUAUUUAUUUUUUUAAUAUCAUUUAAUUAGAAUAUCAAAGUGUAACAAGCUUAACUAUUUUAUAUCAUAGAUUCAUAUGGUAGACACAAAAAAGUAUAAAACAUCUCAUUGUUAUUAUCAUCAUACAAUAUUAUUUUAUUUUUACAGUAGGCCUCACAUUCACCAAGAACACCACACCAGUGCCAAAAGCAAAUGACCCACCACCUAUGAGAUUUUUUUUUUUCUUCCUCCUCCUGUUUCUUCUUCCUCCUUUUUCUCUUUCCUUGCUUUCCCCAGCUAGUACGUAUUUUCACCUGCAAGAUAAAAACAAACAAUAUCAUGCCUUUGAUAGUAAAAAAGAUGACCAAUCUACCAUAUAACAAGAAGGAAAAAGAAAAAAAAACAUAGAAAAAUCAUCAGAAAAAAGAAAAUCUUCAAAUUGGAAACUACUUUUUCCCAUGGCAUUUGAAGAUGAUGAUGACAGAUCGAUCAUUCUGCAAUAUUAAAAGAUCCUUCUUCUGCUAAUAAUGAUCUACAGUUGUUCAAUCUCAAGAAAAACACAGAUCCAACAGGUUUCUGAUGGAGAAAUUCAUAUGAAAAAUGAGAGCAAUAUGAUAAUAAGGAAAUCUAGCAGACUGCAUACCAUAGGUGGGAAGAAGAAGGGAGGAGGUAGGGGGUGGUCUAGUCGCUGUCGCUGCUGCUGCUGCUAUGGCCAUCAUGUUCAUGGCCAUGCUCGUGCUUCUUCUUCUCCUUCUUCUUCUUCUUCUCCCCAACAGGCCCGUGUUCAUGUCCAUGUCCUUGGAUCUUCUCCAUUAUCCCUCCCUUGUGUUCACCUUGCCCAUAACCCUCUCCCUUGUGUUCACCAUGCCCAUACCCCUGACCCUCUCCUUUGUAUUCACUAUGCCCAUACCCCUGACCCUCUCCUUUGUAUCCACCAUGCCCUUGCCCCUCUCCCUUGUAUCCACCAUGCCCUUGCCCCUCUCCCUUGCGCUUCUCCUCCUCCUCCUUGCGCCCUCCCCCCAUGUGAAGGGUCUCCUCUAUCUUGUGGAUGAUUCCUGCCAUUUUUCUCUCUGUGAAAACCUUGAUCUGAUGUACACAACAAUGGACAACCAACCUCCCUUAUUUAUGGGCAUUCAUAUUCCAACUUAUCUCAACCCUUGUUUCUGAUUCAUGUUCCAUUGCAAUAUCAUGAACGUACACGUGGAUGAUAUUAAAUGCGAAUUUUCUUCUGAUUUUUCCAAGACACGCGGCGGAUCGAGACAGCAUUUCC
rnacentral:lncRNA from 1 species